rnacentral:rRNA from 1 species
UACGUAGGGACCGAGCGUUGUCCGGAAUCAUUGGGCGUAAAGAGCGUGUAGGCGGCCACUUAAGUCCUGCGUGAAAUCCUGCGGCUCAACCGCAGGCGGUCGUGGGAAACUGGGUGGCUAGAGUGCGGGAGAGGAGAAUGGAAUUCCUGGUGUAGCGGUGAAAUGCGCAGAUAUCAGGAAGAACACCCGUGGCGAAGGCGGUUCUCUGGAACGCAACUGACGCUGAGACGCGAAAGCGUGGGGAGCAAACAGG